rnacentral:rRNA from 1 species
GACGAACGCUGGCGGCGUGCUUAACACAUGCGAGUCGAACGCUGAAGCUCAGCUUUUGUUGGGUGGAUGAGUGGCGAACGGGUGAGUAACACGUGAGUAACCUGCCUCCUUCUUUGGGAUAACGCCCGGAAACGGGUGCUAAUACUGGAUAUUCACUGGUCUUCGCAUGGGGGUUGGUGGAAAGGGUUUUUCUGGUGGGGGAUGGGCUCGCGGCCUAUCAGCUUGUUGGUGGGGUGAUGGCCGACCAAGGCUUUGACGGGUAGCCGGCCGGAGGGGGUGCCGGUCCGCUUGGGGGUGGCGUUGCGCCCCGGAUUCUACGGGAGGCAGCAGUGGGGAAUAUUGCACAAUGGGCGCAAGCCUGAUGCAGCGACGCCGCGUGAGGGAUGGAGGCCUUCGGGUUGUGAACCUCUUUCGCUCAUGGUCAAGCCGCAACAAUGGUUGUGGUGAGGGUAGUGGGUAAAGAAGCGCCGGCUAACUACGUG